rnacentral:lncRNA from 1 species
GGUACGGCCCCGUGUGCCCCCCCCAACCCGUCCCCGAGGAGCGACGCCGAAGGAGCGGGACCGACUCACUCAUGGGAGCGCGGCGGGCGAGGCCGGCGACACCUCCGGCUUCCGAGGCGCCGGCGAAGUUAAUUGCACUGAAGUUCAAGUUGUCUUUUCACCCAUCAGGAGUGGGCGUUUAAAGGAAGGAGAGCGAGGAGGAGGAGGGGGAGGGGGAAGGGGGAGAGUCGCUCUCGCUCUCGCUCGCUCUCGCACACACACACACACACACACACGCGCGCACACGCGUGCACACGCAUGCACGCGCGCACACACACGCACACACAGGCACACACAAACACACCCGCCCGCUCGGCUCCGCUCCCGAGCUGCCUCAGCAAGGAGGAGCCCGGACGGAAAACACCCGGGCAGCAAGGUGAAGGAAGUAUAUCAUUCUGACACCUGAAAAGUCCAGGAUCUCUCUAGAAAAUGAUGGAGCUUCUCUCAUCACCAAUUUUCUAUAGCCAAAGAAGCCCCAGCUACCUACUGUGUGGGAGGAGAGGCUCUAAACCAUAAACAGGCCAAUAAUACGUCACACCAUCUGAUUGCAAUGAAUGCGAAAGUAAAAGAUGGUUGGAACGGUGCCGGCGAAAGGUUGUUUCAGCUGGAGCAGAGGAGAGAAGGUUGUCCAA